UACGUAGGGUGCAAGCGUUGUCCGGAAUUAUUGGGCGUAAAGAGCUCGUAGGCGGUUCGUCGCGUCGGCUGUGAAAACCCGGAGCUCAACUCCGGGCCUGCAGUCGAUACGGGCGGACUAGAGUUCGGCAGGGGAGACUGGAAUUCCUGGUGUAGCGGUGAAAUGCGCAGAUAUCAGGAGGAACACCGGUGGCGAAGGCGGUUCUCUGGGCCUUACCUGACGCUGAGGAGCGAAAGCGUGGGGAGCGAACAGG
rnacentral:rRNA from 1 species